rnacentral:rRNA from 1 species
AUUGAACGCUGGCGGCGUGCCUAACACAUGCAAGUCGAGCGGUAACAGGUGUAGCAACACAUGCUGACGAGCGGCGAACGGGUGAGUAAUGCUUUGGAAUCUUCCCAGUAGUGGGGAAUAACCAGUCGAAAGAUUGGCUAAUACCGCAUACGUCUGUAAAGGGAAAGCGGGGGCUCGUAAGACCUCGCGCUAUUGGAUGAGCCAAAGUCGGAUUAGCUAGUUGGUGGGGUAAUGGCCUACCAAGGCGACAAUCCGUAGCUGGUCUGAGAGGACGACCAGUCACAC